CGGGGGUGGAGUAAUGUCUGGGAAACUGCCUGAUGGAGGGGGAUAACUGCUGGAAACGGUAGCUAAUACCGCAUAACGUCGCAAGACCAAAGAGGGGGACCUUCGGGCCUCUUGCCAUCGGAUGUGCCCAGAUGGGAUUAGCUAGUAGGUGGGGUAACGGCUCACCUAGGCGACGAUCCCUAGCUGGUCUGAGAGGAUGACCAGCCACACUGGAACUGAGACACGGUCCAG
rnacentral:rRNA from 1 species